AUUGCAGACGAAAUUGCCACGGGUCUCCUCUUCCUCCAUCAGACAAAGCCAGAGCCGCUGGUUCACCGAGAUCUGAAACCAGGAAACAUUCUUCUUGACCGAAACUUUGUCAGCAAGAUAAGUGAUGUCGGCCUCGCACGCCUUGUCCCCCCAUCAGUUGCAGACACCGUCACACAGUACCGCAUGACCUCCACCGCAGGAACAUUCUGCUACAUUGACCCUGAAUACCAGCAAACUGGGAUGCUUGGUGUGAAGUCUGAUAUCUACUCUCUUGGGAUUAUGCUGCUGCAGAUUA
rnacentral:misc_RNA from 1 species